AGGAUGAACGCUGGCGGCGUGCCUAACACAUGCAAGUCGAACGUCCUGUCUCGCAAGAGGCAGGGAGUGGCGGACGGGUGAGUACCACGUGGGUCAUCUACCGUGAGGUGAGGAAUACCGGCGAGAAAUCGCCGACAAGACCGCAUAGCCUCGGUGCAAGUUGAGCAAAGCUCUUUCGAGAGAGGGAGCGCCACACGAGGAGCCUGCGCCCGAUUAGCUAGCUGGUGGAGUAACGGUUCACCAGGGCGACGAUCGGUAGCUGGUCUGAGAGGACGAUCAGCCACACUGGGAUUGAGAACGGCCCAGACUCCUACGGGGGGCAGCAGUGAGGAAUUUUCGUCAAUGGGGGCAACCCUGAACGAGCAACGCCGCGUGCAGGAAGAAGGUUUUCGGAUCGUAAACUGCUUUUCGUCGGGGAAGAGAACGGACGGUACCCGAGGAAUCAGCCCCGGCUAACUACGUGCCAGCAGCCGCGGUAA
rnacentral:rRNA from 1 species